GUGUGGGAUGAAGGCCCUCGGGUUGUAAACCACUUUUGGCAGGAAAGAAAUCGCCUGUGCUAAUACCAUGGGCGGAUGACGGUACCUGCAGAAUAAGCACCGGCUAACUACGUGCCAGCAGCCGCGGUAAUACGUAGGGUGCGAGCGUUAAUCGGAAUUACUGGGCGUAAAGCGUGCGCAGGCGGUUUUGUAAGACAGAUGUGAAAUCCCCGGGCUUAACCUGGGAACUGCAUUUGUGACUGCAAGACUAGAGUGUGUCAGAGGGAGGUGGAAUUCCGCGUGUAGCAGUGAAAUGCGUAGAGAUGCGGAAGAACACCGAUGGCGAAGGCAGCCUCCUGGGAUAACACUGACGCUCAGGCACGAAAGCGUGGGGAGCAAACAGGAUUAGAUACCCUGGUAGUCCACGCCCUAAACGAUGUCAACUAGUUGUUGGGGAUUCAUUUCCUUAGUAACGUAGCUAACGCGUGAAGUUGACCGCCUGGGGAGUACGGCCGCAAGGUUAAAACUCAAAGGAAUUGACGGA
rnacentral:rRNA from 1 species